rnacentral:misc_RNA from 1 species
UUUCGGUAUCCUGUGUUGCUUACCUGUCCCGAUGGUAUUUGAUGGCCUCGCUGCUCCCUUUCAUCUAGCGCCCUCUCCGGGCGUGGGAUGAACUCGUUGGUGCCUUUGCAUGUUCCUUUGUAAGCCGUUGGCUUAUCUCUCGGCCCAUGCUCGGUUACCUGACCCUCGGAUGCUGAAAAUUAAGUGGGCAAGGGGUUGAGAAAAACCCUCUUGAUAAGCCUGAGCCUUGCGCUCAUCGCUCGAACCGAAAGACGUUGUGGCUCGCCUUGGCAUUCUUGAACCAUUGGUUCUCGUAAUGGCCAUGCGUUGUCCCAAUUGUCCCGAGGAAAGCUACCUGGUUGAUCCUGCCAGUAGUCAUAUGCUUGUCUCA